rnacentral:tRNA from 1 species
GGGCCCGUAGUCUAGUGGUUAGGAUGCCGCCCUUACAAGGCACAAUUUCCUAGGAGCGGCGGUGGUCCCGGGUUCGAAUCCCGGCGGGCCCA